AAUUUGGCAUCUCAAGUUUUCAACCUUGUGCAGGAGGUGGAGGGGGAGGCUGCAUCGACAUAUGUGGCAUCAAAUGGUAGGGGCCACCAUUAAGGUGCUGAGGUGGUGGUGGAGGACGCCAAACCUGAGCGCCCAUUGCAGCUGGUGGUGGAGGGGGCCUAUUUAGGGGUGGAGCUACCUGUGGGGGCGGUGGAGGUGGCAUUCCCCUGAAUUGCAUUUGCUGCUGCGGAAUGCCAGCUGCACCUGGUUGCAUAGGAUGUCCCUGCCAAGCUUGUGGUGCAGGCAUUUGCAUUGGCGGGUAGACAUUAGGCUGCAUAGGUGGUGGCCGGAUUGCUGGAAUAGGAGCUGGAGGUAUAGGACCAUUUGCAAAAGGCCGUGGGGGACCUGGAGUACCAACCGCACCAUUGGCUUGUGGAACGCUGGGGGGUCCACUUGCAAACAUGGUAUGAGGCCUGUUUUUCUGAGU
rnacentral:lncRNA from 1 species